rnacentral:rRNA from 1 species
AUACGUAGGUGGCAAGCGUUGUCCGGAUUUAUUGGGCGUAAAGCGAGCGCAGGCGGUUUCUUAAGUCUGAUGUGAAAGCCCCCGGCUCAACCGGGGAGGGUCAUUGGAAACUGGGAGACUUGAGUGCAGAUGAGGAGAGUGGAAUUCCAUGUGUAGCGGUGAAAUGCGUAGAUAUAUGGAGGAACACCAGUGGCGAAGGCGUCUCUCUGGUCUGUAACUGACGCUGAGGCUCGAAAGCGUGGGGAGCAAACAGGAUUAGAUACCCUGGUAGUCCACGCCGUAAACGAUGAGUGAUAAGUGUUGGAGGGUGACAGACCUUCAGUGCUGAAGCUAACGCAUUAAGCAAUCCGCCUGGGGAGUACGACCGCAAGGUUGAA